rnacentral:pre_miRNA from 1 species
GUGCAAUCCAAAAUUUACACCGUCGAUGUAUCAAAUAAUUAUUCUUUUAUUUUAUGGGUAAUUAUUUGAUACACCGGCGGUGUAAAUUUUGGACUCC